UUAUUGAUAAUAAUUUUAAGUCAAAUYUGCUYCAUGAAAUUUUAAAUAGCUGCAGAAUUUUAACUGUACAAAGGUAGCAUAAUCAAUAGUUUUUUAAUUAAAAGCUGGUAUGAAUGAUUUAAUAAGGUAAAUAUUGUCUCAAGUUUAAUAAUAUUAAAAUUUUUUUUUUUGUUAAAAAACAAAAUUGUAUUUAAAAGACGAGAAGACCCUAUAGAUUUUUAUAAUUUUUUAUUUAAAAUAUUUAAAUUUAUUAAUAAAUUUAAAUAAAAAAUUAUUUAGUUGGGGAAAUUAUUAAAUUUAAUUAAUUUUAAUAAAUAAAAUAAAACAAUAAUUAUUGUAAAUUUGAUCUUGAUAUUUGAAUUAAUAGAAUAAAUUACCUUAGGGAUAACAGCGUAAUUUUUUUGAAGAGAUCUAAUUGAUAAAAAAGUUUGCGACCUCGAUGUUGAAUUAAGAUAAAAUUUUAAUGAAGAAGUUAAAAAUUUUUGG
rnacentral:rRNA from 1 species